CAGUCUCUAAUGGAAAAACGUGGAAUUUGUCUUGUCCUUUGCUUGAUCGCAGGCGUCACAUUUGCAGUGGAAUGGCCAAUUGGAACUUACACAUUGGUAAAACCAAGAUCUGGUUGUCCGCCUGACUGGCUAAAGGGCUGGACCGACCAAGAUAACGAGGAUAGCCAUAAUAGCAACAGUAUAUCAUACGGACACCAUUUUGCCGGAAGUUUCGGAAGAAACAUGAAGUUCUACUACUGUACAAAAAAUCCAAACAUCGGCAUGAACGGCGGAUUGUGGCCAGACGGGAACUACUGUAUACUACAGCAUGGGGAGUCGUGUCCAAUGGG